GCCCGUUUAGCUCAGUGGUAGAGCGCGCCACUCGUACGAGCACCAGCUCAAAGCGACAUGGUGAGGUCACUCGUUCAAUCCGGGUAGUGGGCA